GGGGGUAUAGCUCAGUGGCAGAGUGUUUGACUGCAGCUCAAGAGGUCUCUGGUUCAAGUCCGGAUGUCCCCU
rfam:Oreochromis niloticus linkage group LG8-24, whole genome shotgun sequence.